GUCUUAUUGAUUAUAAUUUUAAGUCUAAUCUGCCCAAUGAGUAAUUAAAUGGCUGCAGUAUUUUAACUGUACAAAGGUAGCAUAAUAAUUAGUUUCUUAAUUAGGAACUGGAAUGAAUGAUUGGACGAAAUAGUGACUGUCUUAGUUUAAAUUUUAGAAUUUUAUUUUUGAGUUAAAAAGCUUAAAUUUUUUUAAAAGACGAGAAGACCCUAUAGAAUUUUAUAUUAUUUGAAUAUUUUGUUAUUAGGAUUUUAAUACAGAAUUUUUUAAUUAGUAUUUAGUUGGGGUGAUUGAAAAAUUUAAUAAACUUUUUUUAUUAUUAACAUUAAUAUAUGAUUAUAUGAUCCAGUUUUUCUGAUUAUAAGAUUAAAUUACCUUAGGGAUAACAGCGUAAUUUUUUUAGAGAGUUCUAAUCGAUAAAAGAGAUUGCGACCUCGAUGUUGGAUUAAAGUUUAUUUUUAAUGUAGGAGUUAAAAUAUUAGGUCUGUUCGACCUUUAAAAUUUUACAUGAUCUGAGUUUAAACCGGUGUGAGCCAGGUUGGAUUCUAUCUUUAAUUAAAUUAAAUAUUUUAGUACGAAAGGACCAAGUAUUUAUUAUAAUAAUUUUAUUGGAA
rnacentral:rRNA from 1 species